AUUGAACGCUGGCGGCAGGCCUAACACAUGCAAGUCGAGCGGAGCUGCGGACGGGUUAGUAAUGCCUAGGAAUCUGCCUGGUAGUGGGGGAUAACGUCCGGAAACGGGCACUAAUACCGCAUACUAUCAGAUCAGCAUAGGUCGGAUUAGCUAGUUGGUGGGGUAAAGGCCUACAAAGGCGACGAUCCGUAACGGGUCGAAGAGGAUGAUCAGUCACACUGGAACGGGAAAACGGCCCAGACUCGUACGGGAGGCGGCAGUGGGGAUUAUUGGACAAUGGGCGAAAGCCUGAUCCAGCCAUGCCGCGUGUGGGAAGAAGGUCUUCGGAUUGUAAAGCACUUUAAGUUGGGAGGCGUUACUAACAGAAUAAGCACCGGCUAACUUCGUGCCAGCAGCCGCGGUAAUAC
rnacentral:rRNA from 1 species